rnacentral:rRNA from 1 species
GACGAACGCUGGCGGCGUGCUUAACACAUGCAAGUCGAACGGUGAACGAGGGAGCUUGCUCCCUCCGGAUCAGUGGCGAACGGGUGAGUAACACGUGAGCAAUCUGCCCCGAACUCUGGGAUAAGCGUUGGAAACGACGUCUAAUACCGGAUACGACGCGGGAGGGCAUCCUCUCCGCGUGGAAAGAACUUCGGUUCGGGAUGAGCUCGCGGCCUAUCAGCUUGUUGGUGAGGUAACGGCUCACCAAGGCGACGACGGGUAGCCGGCCUGAGAGGGUGACCGGCCACACUGGGACUGAGACACGGCCCAGACUCCUACGGGGGGCAGCAGUGGGGAAUAUUGCACAAUGGGCGCAAGCCUGAUGCAGCAACGCCGCGUGAGGGACGACGGCCUUCGGGUUGUAAACCUCUUUUAGCAGGGAAGAAGCGAAAGUGACGGUACCUGCAGAAAAAGCACCGGCUAACUACGUG